UAGGGAAUCUUCCACAAUGGACGCAAGUCUGAUGGAGCAACGCCGCGUGAGUGAAGAAGGUCUUCGGAUCGUAAAACUCUGUUGUUAGAGAAGAACACGAGUGAGAGUAACUGUUCAUUCGAUGACGGUAUCUAACCAGAAAGCCACGGCUAACUACGUGUCCAG
rnacentral:rRNA from 1 species